GCCUGGGUGGCUCAGUCGGUUAAGCAUCUGACUUCGGCUCAGGUCACGAUCUCACGGUUUGUGAGUUUGAGCCCCACAUCGGGCU
rnacentral:tRNA from 1 species